rnacentral:rRNA from 1 species
GAUGAACGCUGGCGGCGUGCUUAACACAUGCAAGUCGAACGAGAAAUGGAGACGGAAACCUUCGGGCGGAAGGCUUCAUUUCGAGUGGCGGCCGGGUGAGUAACGCGUGGGUAACCUGCCUCAUACAGGGGGAUAACAGUUGGAAACGACUGUUAAUACCGCAUAAGACCACAGCACCGCAUGGUGCGGGGGUAAAAACUCCGGUGGUAUGAGAUGGACCCGCGUUCGAUUAGCCAGUUGGCGGGGUAACGGCCCACCAAAGCGACGAUCGAUAGCCGAUCUGAGAGGAUGACCGGCCACAUUGGGACUGAGACACGGCCCAAACUCCUACGGGAGGCAGCAGUGGGGAAUAUUGCACAAUGGGGGAAACCCUGAUGCAGCGACGCCGCGUGAGUGAAGAAGUACUUCGGUAUGUAAAGCUCUAUCAGCAGGGAAGAAAAUGACGGUACCUGAGUAAGAAGCCCCGGCUAACUACGUG